UACAGAGGGUGCGAGCGUUGUCCGGAAUCACUGGGCGUAAAGGGCGCGUAGGUGGCUUGCCAAGCGUGUGGUGAAAGCCCGGAGCUCAACUCCGGGUCUGCCAUGCGAACUGGCAGGCUUGAGCACGGUAGAGGCCAAUGGAAUUCCGGGUGUAGCGGUGGAAUGCGUAGAGAUCCGGAAGAACACCGGUGGCGAAGGCGGUUGGCUGGGCCGUAGCUGACGCUGAGGAGCGAAAGCGUGGGGAGCGAACAGG
rnacentral:rRNA from 1 species